rnacentral:rRNA from 1 species
GACGAACGCUGGCGGCGUGCUUAACACAUGCAAGUCGAACGGAAAGGCCCUGCUUUUGUGGGGUGCUCGAUUGGCGAACGGGUGAGUAACACGUGAGUAACCUGCCCUUGACUUUGUGAUAACUUCAGGAAACUGGGGCUCAUACCGGAUAUGAGCUCCUGCUGCAUGGUGGUGGUUGGCAAGUUUCGGCGUUGGGGGAUGGACUCGCGGCUUAUCAGCUUGUUGGUGGGGUAGUGGCUUACCAAGGCUUUGACGGGUAGCCGGCCUGAGAGGGUUACCGGCGACAUUGGGACUGAGAUACGGACCAGACUCCUACGGGAGGCAGCAGUGGGGAAUAUUGCAGAAUGGGCGGAAGCCUGAUGCAGAAACGCCGCGUGCGGGAUGACGGGCUUCGGGUUGUAAACCGCUUUCGCCUGUGACGAAGCGUGAGUGACGGUAAUGGGUAAAGAAGCACCGGCUAACUACGUG